UAGAAGGUCAGGCACUAGGUAAAUCGCUGAGGCUGUUGGGAAACGUUUGGGUAAGUAACUCGCUGGGUUGGGUAACGUUUGGGUAAGUCACUCGCUUGGAUAGGUAACGUUGAUGGGCAAGUCACUCGCUUGGAUAAGUAAGGGUUAGGUAGAUCGCUGAGGCUGUUGGGUAACGUUUGGGUAAGUCACUCGCUUGGAUAGGUAACGCUGAUGGGCAAGUCACUCGCUUGGAUAGGUAAGGGUUAGAUAGAUCGCUGAGGCUGUUGGGUAACGUUUGGGUAAGUCACUCGCUUGGUUGGGUAACGUUUGAAUAAGUCAUUCCCUGGGUUGGGUAACGUUUAGGUCAGUCGCUUGUCGGGUAACGUUUUGGUUAGUCAAUCGCUGGGUUUAGUAUAGUUCAGUAAUAAUAAUAAUAAUAAUAGUAAUAAUAAUAAUAAUAAUAAUAAUAAUAAUAAUAAUAAUAAUAAUAAUAAUAAUAAUAAUAAUAAUAAUAAUAAUAAUAAUAAUAAUAAUAAUAAUAAUAAUAAUAAUAAUAAUAAUAAUAAUAAUAAUAAUAAUAAUAAUAAUAAUAAUAAUAAUAAUAUGUUUCCCAUUUUCUGUUUUCUGGAGCUCGUAUUAAUCUUCUCCUUCAUACCGAAGCCAGAAUAUUUUCUCCUUCAAUCUCCGCCGCGAGAGUUAAUUUCCUCCCUCAUUCCCGAAGCUACAUUUUUUUAUCUCAUUUUUGUCUACCCACCAAUGACAAAAUUAUAAUAAAAUGACAAAAACGGUAAAAUAAAUAAUAAAUAAAAUAAAUAAAUAAAAUAAAAUGAAUGAAUAAAAUAAAUAUAUUUUCUCCCUGAUUUACGACGCUAGAAUAUGUAAAGCACUAACGAAAACAGUGAUGAUGAUGGUGAAAAUGAUAACAAUAAUAGCGGAAGGCGAUGUUUGAGCAGAGCGCCUCGCGGGUGGGUGACCGAGACACUCGUGGCGGCGAGGCGUGGUGAGCCGCGGGUGUGUGGCGGCGGCACGAACACGGCCGCUAGGCACCGUGUCAGGCACCUCGGCAUGCAUCACCCCGGGACGAUAGCCAAAUGCCCGUUAAUAAAGUUAGUUCAGAUGGUCUUAAUACACUCACACUCUACUCAUCACCUGGGGACGAUAGCCAAAUGCCCGUUAAUAAAGUUAGUUCAGAAGGUCUUAAUACACCCACACUCUACUCAUCACCUGGGGACGAUAGCCAAAUGCCCGUUAAUAAAGUUAGUUCAGAAGGUCUUAAUACACCCACACUCUACUCAUCACCCCGGGACGAUAGCCAAAUGCCCGUUAAUAAAGUUAGUUCAGAUGGUCUUAAUACACUCACACUCUACUCAUCACCUGGGGACGAUAGCCAAAUGCCCGUUAAUAAAGUUAGUUCAGAUGGUCUUAAUACACUCACACUCUACUCAUCACCUGGGGACGAUAGCCAAAUGCCCGUUAAUAAAGUUAGUUCAGAAG